GUGCUCGCUUCAGCAGCACAUAUACUAAAAUUGGAACGAUACAGAGAAGAUUCGCAUGGCCCCUGCACAAGGAUGACACGCAAAUUCGUGAAGCGUUCCAUACGUAA
ensembl:snRNA U6 U6 spliceosomal RNA